rnacentral:rRNA from 1 species
AACGAACGCUGGCGGCAUGCCUAACACAUGCAAGUCGAACGAGACCUUCGGGUCUAGUGGCGCACGGGUGCGUAACGCGUGGGAACCUGCCCUUAGGUUCGGAAUAACUCCCCGAAAGGGGUGCUAAUACCGGAUAAUGUCUUCGGACCAAAGAUUUAUCGCCUUUGGAUGGGCCCGCGUUGGAUUAGCUAGUUGGUAGGGUAAAAGCCUACCAAGGCGACGAUCCAUAGCUGGUCUGAGAGGAUGAUCAGCCACACUGGGACUGAGACACGGCCCAGACUCCUACGGGAGGCAGCAGUGGGGAAUAUUGGACAAUGGGCGAAAGCCUAAUCCAGCAAUGCCGCGUGAGUGAUGAAGGCCUUAGGGUUGUAAAGCUCUUUUACCCGGGAUGAUAAUGACAGUACCGGGAGAAUAAGCACCGGCUAACUCCGUG